rnacentral:rRNA from 1 species
UACGAAGGGGGCUAGCGUUGCUCGGAAUCACUGGGCGUAAAGCGCACGUAGGCGGCUUUCUAAGUCAGGGGUGAAAUCCUGGAGCUCAACUCCAGAACUGCCUUUGAUACUGGAAAGCUUGAGUUCGGGAGAGGUGAGUGGAACUGCGAGUGUAGAGGUGAAAUUCGUAGAUAUUCGCAAGAACACCGGUGGCGAAGGCGGGUCUCUGGGCCGAUACUGACGCUGAGGAGCGAAAGCGUGGGGAGCGAACAGG